rnacentral:rRNA from 1 species
GACGAACGCUGGCGGCGUGCCUAAUACGUGCAAGUCGAACGCUGAAGGAGGAGCUUGCUUCUCUGGAUGAGUUGCGAACGGGUGAGUAACGCGUAGGUAACCUGCCUGGUAGCGGGGGAUAACUAUUGGAAACGAUAGCUAAUACCGCAUAAGAGCAGAUGUUGCAUGACAUUUGCUUAAAAGGUGCAAUUGCAUCACUACCAGAUGGACCUGCGUUGUAUUAGCUAGUUGGUGAGGUAACGGCUCACCAAGGCAACGAUCCAUAGCCGACCUGAGAGGGUGAUCGGCCACACUGGGACUGAGACACGGCCCAGACUCCUACGGGAGGCAGCAGGAGGGAAUCGUCGGCAAUGGACGGAAGUCUGACCGAGCAACGCCGCGGGAGUGAAGAAGGUUUUCGGAUCGUAAAGCUCUGUUGUAAGAGAAGAACGAGUGUGAGAGUGGAAAGUUCACACUGUGACGGUAUCUUACCAGAAAGGGACGGCUAACUACGUG